rnacentral:rRNA from 1 species
UACAGAGGGUGCGAGCGUUAAUCGGAAUUACUGGGCGUAAAGCGUGCGUAGACGGUUAUUUAAGUCGGGUGUGAAAGCCCCGGGCUCAACCUGGGAAUUGCAUUCGAGACUGAAUAGCUAGGGUACGGUAGAGGGAAGCGGAAUUUCCGGUGUAGCGGUGAAAUGCGUAGAUAUCUGCAGGAACACCCGUGGCGAAAGCGGCGCGCUGGACCACUACUGACGCUGAAGAACGAAAGCUAGGGGAGCAAACAGG